rnacentral:lncRNA from 1 species
UGAUUUUAUUUCUUUCUCUGUUUUUAUUUUUAAUUGUAUUUUCUUUUAAAAUUCAUAGAAAAUCCAUUUUACAUCCAAAAAAUCCCAAAAUAAUUUCUAAAAUUCUCUUUUAUUUUUCUCUAUCUGAUUUUUAUUUUUUCACAUUUUAUUUUAUUGAUUUUAUAUUUUUCAUAAAAUUUCUCUUUUCUCCUUUGUUUUAAUUGGUUUAAAAAGAGUUUUCUACAUUUUAAAUUUCUGAAAAAUUUAUUAUACG